AGCGAACGCUGGCGGCAGGCCUAACACAUGCAAGUCGAACGAACCUUUCGGGGUUAGUGGCGGACGGGUGAGUAACACGUGGGAACGUGCCUUUAGGUUCGGAAUAACUCAGGGAAAUUUGUGCUAAUACCGAAUGUGCCCUUCGGGGGAAAGAUUUAUCGCCUUUAGAGCGGCCCGCGUCUGAUUAGCUAGUUGGUUGAGGUAAUGGCUCACCAAGGCGACGAUCAGUAGCUGGUCUGAGAGGAUGAUCAGCCACAUUGGGACUGAGACACGGCCCAAACUCCUACGGGAGGCAGCAGUGGGGAAUCUUGCGCAAUGGGCGAAAGCCUGACGCAGCCAUGCCGCGUGAAUGAUGAAGGUCUUAGGAUUGUAAAAUUCUUUCACCGGGGACGAUAAUGACGGUACCCGGAGAAGAAGCCCCGGCUAACUUCGUG
rnacentral:rRNA from 1 species